rnacentral:lncRNA from 1 species
UCUUUUAAUGAGUUGUGGGGAGGUUUCUGACAAGUUAUAAGAGUGAUCGAAUUGUUAGAAGGUCAAAAGUGAAUUGCACUUUAGACGUGGAAGCGUGAAGUUUAAGUGUAAUAUCUCGGAAUUGACUGAUUAUGAAGUUUGAUGAGUGGAAGUGAUAAUUGGAAUUAUCCUACAUUUUCUAAAGGGUUUAGAGAGGUUGGUGGACAGGUAUGAGAGUGAUUAGAUUGCGGGAAGUGAGGAAGUGCAUUGCUGCUGCGUUUUUGCACAUUCUGCAUUGUUGUACCGGUAUAACAUUAACAUUGUACCGGUACAACCAGUCUCAGUAGCAGCAGCUGUGUGGCAGCAUGCCUCUUUUGGUCUUUUUACUCCCAAGCUUAUCUCUAAGCCAU